rnacentral:rRNA from 1 species
UACGGAGGGGGCGAGCGUUAUUCGGAAUUAUUGGGCGUAAAGGGCGCGUAGGCGGUGCGGUAAGUCACCUGUGAAAUCUCCUGGCUCAACUGGGAGCUUGCAGGCGAAACUGCCGUGCUGGAGUGUGGGAGAGGUGCGUGGAAUUCCCGGUGUAGCGGUGAAAUGCGUAGAUAUCGGGGAGGAACACCUGUGGCGAAAGCGGCGCACUGGACCACAACUGACGCUGAGGCGCGAAGGCCAGGGGGAGCAAACGGG